rnacentral:rRNA from 1 species
AUUGAACGCUGGCGGCAUGCCUUACACAUGCAAGUCGAACGGCAGCACGGGUGCUUGCACCUGGUGGCGAGUGGCGAACGGGUGAGUAAUACAUCGGAACGUACCUUAUCGUGGGGGAUAACGCAGCGAAAGUUGCGCUAAUACCGCAUAAGCCCUGAGGGGGAAAGCGGGGGACCGUAAGGCCUCGCGCGAUUAGAGCGGCCGAUGUCUGAUUAGCUUGUUGGUGAGGUAAAAGCUCACCAAGGCGAUGAUCAGUAGCUGGUCUGAGAGGACGAUCAGCCACACUGGGACUGAGACACGGCCCAGACUCCUACGGGAGGCAGCAGUGGGGAAUUUUGGACAAUGGGGGCAACCCUGAUCCAGCAAUGCCGCGUGAGUGAAGAAGGCCUUCGGGUUGUAAAGCUCUUUUGUCAGGGAAGAAACAGCAGCUCUAACACAGUCUGCGAAUGACGGUACCUGAAGAAUAAGCACCGGCUAACUACGUG